GUUAAGAAUCAAUAAUCUAUCAUAGAUUGAUAAUGAAGUGGACUGCAAUAUAUUCUUUCAUUUUAGGUUCCGAAAAUACCAUGAUAACACAAUUGAAUGUAUAAUGAAAGGGAUAACAUAUUCUUUCAUUUUGGGUUCUUUGGUGUUUGUUCAUUCCUCGUGACAUCUGUUGCAACAUUUCUGGGUUUCUUUGGUGUUGUGUCUUUCCAAUGAACCAGCUUUGUACUCUGCUUGUGCUUUUGGGGUUCCUCUUUUAUUAAGGGAUUAUCUGCUUGUCGGAGUGGUUUAUUUUGGAUUCCAACUUGGUCUUUUGAUCCUGAUGGUUUCCUUUAUGAUGCUCUCGGGUAUUUAUUUCUAUCCUCGCCGGAAAGGAAAAUGUGCACAGCGGGAUGUAACGCAAAGGGUUUUACGUUUUGGACGAAUUGCUGACCUAUCAGUGCAAAAUUUUCCUUUUGAUCUGAGUUUCGCUAUAAGUUGUUGUGUAUUUAUGUUAGUGUUAAUUUUCUUUCUAUGUGUUUUGCGUUUCAGAUUUCUUGGUUUGCUGUCUUCCUUUUUCUGUUGACGAUGAGGCGGUGGAGAUUUCCUUCCAGUCGCCGCUCUCUUUUGGGUCAACGACCGUCUUUGAUUUUCUGCUGCAUCGGCUACGUGUCAUCUUUUGGUCAGCACAUGGUCUGCCAAUGGGGUCCACGUUACAUCACCUGUUUUCCUUGCGUGCAGGGAACGCAAAGGCUGAGAUAUUUUGUGCUCCGUUCCUACUAAUGACCUUAGAUGGGCCUAUUUGUUAUCUUCAGCCCAAACCCAAUGUCUUGUACUCUUUGUGGUCGCUUCUUGGGCCUGUGCAGACCCAUGCUGAGUGUUGUUUAAUUGUUGGUCCGCUUGUGGUGGGUAUUAUAGUGUGUGGUCCAUUUAAUGAAAGCCCAUAAGUGGUUAUGGUUUUGAAUGGUUUGGUGGAUUACAUCCUCUUUGGCCGUGAUAUCAUUUUCGUUGCGCAGCAAGUGCAUUCUUCUACAGACUCUCUUGGCCAUCCGGCGGAUUUGCGUUGGGUUCCUCCAGGUUUCUUACAGUUGCGGUGUGUCCAGACUGUCUUAUCUUCAGCUACUUUGUAUGUUGGAGGCGACGAAAAUGUUUGUCAGGUUUACACAGGCUUUGUCAUGCUGGUAGUUAUGACCGAUUUAUCGACAGUGGUGUCUUGUUGCUUUGCGGUAACCUUAUUUCAUGUCUUGUUGGUUUUCCUCUUUCUUUCGAUGAUAUCCGUAAGAUACUACAGGUUAUCCCCUCGGCUUGGGUUCCCUCUGUUUAUAGACAGAGGCACGAGGUGGACUAUGCUAUUGUUCAGCUUUCCCGGAGUCCUGUUAAUACGGAGUAUGGGAUCCAGUCACUUCUGGUGGAUUUUUGUAAUACCCCUAAUUUUAAAUGGAUAGUCUCGGUAUUUAUUUAUUUAUUUUUUAUUAUAUUUUUUUUAAUUGUUUAAUUGAUUAUUUGACUAAUUGUUUAUGUGUUUAAUUGAAUUAAGUGUUACUUGAUUAA